UACUUGGUUGAUCCUGCCAAGGAAGCACACUUAGGUCAUAGAUUAAGCCAUGCAAGUGUUAGUUCAGGUAACGAAACUGCGAAUAGCUCAUUAAUACGCUCAGAAUCUAUUUGGCGGCGACCAACAGGUCUUAAAUGGAUAGCAGCAGCAACUCUGGUGCUAAUACAUGCGAUUGUUUCUCCAGAUGUGAAUUAUGGAGGAAAAGUUGACCUCAUCAGAGGCACGCCAUUCGACUGAGUGACCUAUCAGCUUGUACUUAGGGUCUUUACCUAGGUAGGCUAUCACGGGUAACGGGCGGUUACCGUCGGACUGCCGGAGAAGGCGCCUGAGAGAUAGCGACUAUAUCCACGGGUAGCAGCAGGCGCGAAACUUUCCCACUCGAGACUUUCGGAGGAGGUAAUGACCAGUUCCAUUGGUGCCUUUUGGUACUGUGGAUAGGGGUACGGUUUUCCACCGUACCGAAACCUAGCAGAGGGCCAGUCUGGUGCCAGCAGCUGCGGUAAUUCCAGCUCUGCGAGUUUGCUCCCAUAUUGUUGCAGUUAAAACGCCCGUAGUCUGAAUUGGCCAGCAAUGGUCGUACGUAUUUUUACGUUCACUGUGAACAAAUCAGGACGCUUAGAGUAUGGCCACAUGAAUGACUCAGCGCAGUAUGAAGUCUUUGUUUUCUUCCCGA
rnacentral:ncRNA from 1 species